UUAACACAUGCAAGUCGAGGGGCAGCAUGGUCUUAGCUUGCUAAGGCCGAUGGCGACCGGCGCACGGGUGAGUAACACGUAUCCAACCUGCCGUCUACUCUUGGACAGCCUUCUGAAAGGAAGAUUAAUACAAGAUGGCAUCAUGAGUCCGCAUGUUCACAUGAUUAAAGGUAUUCCGGUAGACGAUGGGGAUGCGUUCCAUUAGAUAGUAGGCGGGGUAACGGCCCACCUAGUCUUCGAUGGAUAGGGGUUCUGAGAGGAAGGUCCCCCACAUUGGAACUGAGACACGGUCCAAACUCCUACGGGAGGCAGCAGUGAGGAAUAUUGGUCAAUGGGCGAGAGCCUGAACCAGCCAAGUAGCGUGAAGGAUGACUGCCCUAUGGGUUGUAAACUUCUUUUAUAAAGGAAUAAAGUCGGGUAUGGAUACCCGUUUGCAUGUACUUUAUGAAUAAGGAUCGGCUAACUCCGUGCCAGCAGCCGCGGUAAUACGGAGGAUCCGAGCGUUAUCCGGAUUUAUUGGGUUUAAAGGGAGCGUAGAUGGACGUUUAAGUCAGUUGUGAAAGUUUGCGGCUCAACCGUAAAAUUGCAGUUGAUACUGGAUAUCUUGAGUGCAGUUGAGGCAGGCGGAAUUCGUGGUGUAGCGGUGAAAUGCUUAGAUAUCACGAAGAACUCCGAUUGCGAAGGCAGCCUGCUAAGCUGCAACUGACAU
rnacentral:rRNA from 1 species